ensembl:misc_RNA Metazoa_SRP Metazoan signal recognition particle RNA
GCCGGGCGCAGUGGCGCGGCGUGCCUGUAGUCCCAGUUACUCGGGAGGCUGCGGUGGGAGGAUCGCUUGAGUCCAGGAGUUCUGGGCUGCAGUGCGCUAUGCGGAUCAGGUGUCCGCACUAAACUCGGCAUCGAUAUGGUGACCUCCCGGGAGCGGGGGACCACCAGGUUGCCUAAGGAGUGGUGAACCGGCCCAGGUCAGAAACGGAGCAGGUCAAAGCUCCCGUGCUGAUCAAUAGUGGGAUGGCGCCUGUGAAUAGCCACUGCAUUCCAGCCUGGGCAACAUAGCGAGGCCCUGUAUCU